UCUGUCUGUGUGAAUGCCAUGGCGUAUAAUGUACAACUUAAAUACUCAUUUUACACACAGCAAAUAGAAGAUUCUUGGAAAUUUUAUCGCCAUAUUCAAAUGGCGUCACCCAGCCCCGACUGUUAUUGCAAUCCAGUGCCCUGGUGCCAUUGGUAAUUUGACUGCCGCCAGGAAUCCCUGUUCGCCUUACGUUGCUUCUAUCCGGCUUUUUUCUCAGAAACUUGUUGAACGCCUCGACGAGGACGAAUACGGCGUCGUACAUCAGCGCAGCUUGCGCCUAACGCGAAGAAAAUCGUAGAAUGAGUGUUGGAGUCGUCAGCGAUCAUUUUUGUUUUAAGGCCAGAAAAAGUCAAGGAAAGAACGGCAACACAUCCAAACCAGCUGGCUGCUCAAGCGAGCAAAACUCUCAUAGAAAGAAGACUAAGAAGGAAACACCCCACUAAUCUC
rnacentral:misc_RNA from 1 species